rnacentral:tmRNA from 1 species
GUUGUCUUAAACUCAAAUCUUAAUCUAAGCAUGUAGAAAGCUUAUGGGUACUUUCUCUGGACCCGGGUUCGACUCCCGGCAGCUCCACCA